ACAUGCCUACAACAUAGUGUUAAUGCAUCGGAUCCCAAUCGAACUCUAUAGUUAAGUGCACUUGGGCUAGAGUAGUAUAGGGAUGGGUAAGCGCCCGAGAAGUCCUAGUGUUUUACAUGCC
rfam:Picea glauca, whole genome shotgun sequence.